GUGAGAUGAUGACAAAGUUUAUCCAUUCUCUGAGUGCAGUGGUGCUGCCCUCCUGCAGCACCCUGAUUCCUGUUCUAGGGUCUGGGUGCUGUGCAGCCUCCAGAGACCCUCUGGUCUGCCAGUGUCCUACUGGGGGCUGUUGUGGUGUGUGGCUGGCUGCCUGCAGGAGUGAAGUGGUGCCGGCACGGUUGGAGCCCCUCUCUGGGGGGCUCUGUCCUCACUGAGAUGAAGGAUGAUGUCUGAUCAC